UACAGAGGUCCCAAGCGUUGUUCGGAUUCAUUGGGCGUAAAGGGUGCGUAGGUGGCGCUGUAAGUCGGGUGUGAAAUUUCGGAGCUUAACUCCGAAACUGCAUUCGAUACUGCCGUGCUUGAGGACUGGAGAGGAGACUGGAAUUUACGGUGUAGCGGUGAAAUGCGCAGAUAUCAGGAGGAACACCGGUGGCGAAGGCGGGUCUCUGGGCCGUAACUGACGCUGAGGAGCGAAAGCGUGGGGAGCGAACAGG
rnacentral:rRNA from 1 species